UUGAGCUCUCUGAACUCGUCUACAGGGACAGUCUCGAGCACUGUCUGCAGUACUUACUCCACUGCUGUUCAUGCACAACAAGCUACAGAGGCAGCGUCUCACAUAAUCUAGCCUAGAUCGCGAUGAGAAAUCGAUAGCCCGAUCGAUGCAUAUCAUCAUCAGUGUUCAGUCUGUCCAUCCAUCAUCCAAGAUCCAAGUUUGAAUGUUCUGGUCCUGAUUCCAGAAGAGAGGAGAGAACAGAGAAGAGAAGAGAUAAUGUCUGAAUGUGAGGGCAUGUAUGUAUGCCGGGUGUCCGGGUAACUUCUCCGGCCACGCCACACGCAGCAGCAGACAGGCAAGCUUGCAACUCUGAAACUCUCAAUGAUUUUGACACUUGCAUUUUUGAGUCAGUUUCAGUGACCAAUUCGCAUCGGCCUGCAGUGGUGAUGCAUCCAAAGUUUGUAGAGAUCGACCGACCGAAUAGAUAAAGUAGCAGAUGGAGAUUUAAGAGGCUGUCUGUCUGACUGGACAGGAAGGAUAGAUCAGCAGAUAGAACAACUGAAGAUAAGGCCGAUGGAUAACUACAGUGCACUAGUGCCAGUACAGACCUAACCUAACAGUCAGUCACCUAAUUAUCAGUACUACCAGAAAUCAAUUAUGCUUAUGAGUGCUGAUCGCUACGGUAUAUUUUUUAUCUUAAGAAGAUACCACUGUUUUCUAUGUAAAAUAUGAUAGUGAUACAUGAUCAUCGGCGACUGGUUUUCAUAGAAAAAAAGAAACCGGCCGACCGUGUGAUUGUAGAGCUGUGGAUGUAUCAUUCACUGCCGUUUAAGUUUUUAAAGAAACUUUGUGAGA